rnacentral:rRNA from 1 species
AUUGAACGCUGGCGGCAGGCUUAACACAUGCAAGUCGAGCGGAGAGAGGUAGCUUGCUACUGAUCUUAGCGGCGGACGGGUGAGUAAUGCUUAGGAAUCUGCCUAUUAGUGGGGGACAACAUUUCGAAAGGAAUGCUAAUACCGCAUACGUCCUACGGGAGAAAGCAGGGGAUCUUCGGACCUUGCGCUAAUAGAUGAGCCUAAGUCGGAUUAGCUAGUUGGUGGGGUAAAGGCCUACCAAGGCGACGAUCUGUAGCGGGUCUGAGAGGAUGAUCCGCAACACUGGGACUGAGACACGGCCCAGACUCCUACGGGAGGCAGCAGUGGGGAAUAUUGGACAAUGGGCGGAAGCCUGAUCCAGCCAUGCCGCGUGUGUGAAGAAGGCCUUAUGGUUGUAAAGCACUUUAAGCGAGGAGGAGGCUACUUUAGCUAAUACCUAGAGAUAGUGGACGUUACUCGCAGAAUAAGCACCGGCUAACUCUGUGCCAGCCGCCGCCGUAACAC